UUAAUUUGAAAUCUACUUGAUAUUUUUUCUUUGUUUUUAGAAUAACUUCAGUGACAGUAUUAAGUAGUAAUUGAUAAAUAAAAUAACGCAUAUUUUACUUUUAAUUUACAACUUUACAAGUAAAAAUUCCGAAAAUGAUGAUCACAAUUAUUACGUAACGAUGUCGAGUGUGCGAUUAGAACAGACUAGAUUGUAAAGGAUUGCUCUGCCUUUUUUAAUAUUUUGUAUCCCCAAAAAUCAUCAUUGUCUUAUUCUUACAAUGUAAUUGUUUAUUGAUAGCCUUUAUUAAAAUAAUAAUUAGCUCAAAUAAAAGAAUCAGGUUAUUCUAAGAUUAUGAAUAUAAUGUAUAAAUAGAUGUGUUGAAUAUAAGAGAGCAUAGAUAUACAAGAUUUUAAAAGAAUAGAAAAUUCUGAUUGGUGUAUUAAGUAACCAGUAGUUGUAUAAAGUAUGAACUAUACUGAAAGUAUGAUGAAAAAUGGUAAUUCUUGCUAUGUUAGUUGCAAUAUUCAAGACAACUCAGAAUAUGAAGAUUUUUCUUCUUUGUUACCCUUGAAUAAUGAGGAAGACAUAAAAAUAUUUGAACAUAAACUUACUGAUGUCUCCUUCAAAACAAAAGCCAUUAUGGAAUUGACAAGAUUAAACAGAAAUACUUUGCCGAGCACUGUCUGCAACAUUAUGGGCUAUUUAUUUUGUGAUGCUGUUUUAACAUUGUAUAGUUACAAAUAAAUAUUGUUUAAAUUAACUUUUACUUUUUGUAAAAAUUUUUUAAUUUCUUUAUUAAAAAUCUUUAAAAGUUGUAUUUUCUGAUUUUAUAAAAUCAGUAUUAUCGCGGCAGUAUUUAAAAAUGAAAAUGUUUUAAUGUGUUGAUAUAAU